UACGAAGGGGGCUAGCGUUGCUCGGAAUCACUUGGGCGUAAAGGGUGCGUAGGCGGGUCUUUUAAGCAGGGGUAAAAUCCGUGGAGCUCAACUCCAGACUGCCUUUGAUACUGAGGAUCUUGAGUUCGGGAGAGGUGAGUGGAACUGCGAGUGUAGAGGUGAAAUUCGUAGAUAUUCGCAAGAACACCAGUGGCGAAGGCGGCUCACUGGCCCGAUACUGACGCUGAGGACGAAAAGCG
rnacentral:rRNA from 1 species